UUAUGUGAAAUAGCAAUGUGACAUGCAGCGAGAGGGUCUGAAAGAUUGACAAUCGUCUGCCUGCUGUAGGUGAAACAUUGAUACAUUUAACUUUUAGUUCCUUUUUUUGAUAAGUCAUGAAGAUGUGCUGCAUUCAAAUGUUGCUGUUUCAUCUCUUCAUUUCUCCCUGUUUUGUGACCAGCACAAGACCGUUGAUCCAUGUGUUUGGAUAUGAAGGGAGAGAAGCCAGCCUCUCCUGCCCUUAUGAUGCAGGAUAUGAGGAUUAUAAGAAGUACCUGUGCAGAAACGGCUGUGGCAGUAAUGAUAUUGUCAUUACAACAACAGAAGCAAAAAAGAACAGAUUCUCUAUCAGAGACGAUAUAAACAAGAAGGUUUUUACAACCUCCAUAUCUAAUAUUCAGUAUAGUGAAGCUGGAAAAUACUGGUGUGGAGUGACAAAAAUUGGAAUAGAUUACUACCCUGCUGAAGUCAGUCUGGAGGUGGUGAAAGACACCUGCUGUGACAGUACCACCAAAGUCCAAAGUUAUGAGGGAGGUUCUGUGUCCUUCACUUGUCCAUAUGAGUCUCGGUACCAGAACAACCUGAAGUACAUGUGCAGAGGAAACCGUCCGUCCACAUGUCUGCAGCAGGCAGUAGUCUCCUCCAUCAAGAAACAAGACACACGCUUCACACUGACUGAUGACAAGCUGUCAACAUUCACAGUGAACAUCACCAGUCUGACCCAACAGGAUUCUGGGUCGUAUCUUUGUGGAGUCCACACAAACACAGGCCUUGAUGUUUUUUCUGCUGUUUAUCUGGAGGUCGAAGGGAACACCUGCUGUGACAGUUCCACCAAAGUCCAAAGCUAUGAGGGAGGUUCUGUGUCCUUCACUUGUUCAUAUGAGCCUCAGUACCAGAACAACCUGAAGUACAUGUGCAGAGAAAACCGUCCGUCCACAUGUCUUCAGCAGGCAGUAGUCUCCUCCACCAAGAAACAAGACACACGCUUCACACUGACUGAUGACAAGCUGUCAACAUUCACAGUGAACAUCACCAGUCUGACCCAACAGGAUUCUGGGUCGUAUCUUUGUGGAGUCCACACAAACACAGGCCUUGAUGUUUUCUCUGCUGUUGAUCUGGAGGUCAAAGAGUGGUGCUGUGUGAAGUCAAACAAACUAAGAGGCUCUGUGGGACAUCCAUUAACUAUGCAGUGUCCCUAUCCAACACAACAUGGGACAAACAGGAAGUUCCUCUGUAAGGGAGACCACCACAGGACCUGCACAAACAUGAUGACUGACACCAGGUUCACUCUGCUGGAUAAUGUUUCUACCAGCUCUUUCUUGGUGAUGGUCUCAGAGCUGGAGGCAGGUGAUUCUGGGACGUACUGGUGUGGCUCAGACUCACACUGGAGCUUUGGAAACUACACUAACGUCCAACUGUCAGUAGAACAAUUGCCCAAGACUGCAGAGUGCGACACACCAACCUGUGCACAGCCUGGAUUGACCACAAGAAAGCCUGUGACUCAAUGCCACACACAUGGAUCACUGAAUGCUUGGAGCUGUACAACAUCAACAGAACUCUAAGGGCCUUCAUUGCAAACUGGAUGAGGUUGUGGAGAACCACCCUUGAAGCCAAUGGGAAGCCACUUGCCCAAGUAUCCAUCAAAUGUGGCAUAUACCAAGGAGAUGCACUGUCCCCACUGCUGUUCUGCAUAGGUCUGAACCCCCUCAGCCAAAUAAUAAACAAGACUGGCUAUGGAUACCGACUCCGGAAUGGGGUCACCAUAAGUCACCUCCUCUACAUGGAUGACAUCAAGCUGUACGCCAAGAGUGAGUGAGACAUCGACUCGCUGAUCCACACCACCAGAAUCUACAGCUCGGACAUCGGGAUGUCAUUCGGGCUCGAGAAAUGUGGUAGGAUGGUGAAAAAGAGAGGCAAGGUUAUCCACACAGAAGGGGUCUCACUCCCAGAAGGAACAAUAGCAGACAUUGAGGACAAUUACAAGUACCUUGGAAUACCACAGGCAAACGGCAACCUUGAACAGGCAACAAGAAAUGCCGCAACAGCCAAAUACCUCCAACGAGUAAGGCAAGAGUAAGGCAAGAAGCCAGCUCAAUGGCAAGAACAAAUCCCGGGCAAUAAACAGCUACGCUCUGCCAGUGAUCAGAUACCCUGCGGGAAUAAUAAGGUGGCCAAAGGAAGAGAUACAGACCACAGAUGUUAAGACACGAAAGCUCCUCACCAUGCAUGGAGGGUUCCACCCCAAAUCCAGCACCCUGAGACUGUACGCUAGCCGCAAGGAAGGAGGCCGAGGACUAGUGAGCGUGAGAGCCACUAUCCGGGAUGAAACAUCCAAGAUCCAUAAGUACAUCAAGGAUAAGGCCCCGACAGAUGACGUGCUGAGUGAAUGUCUCAGGCAGUGGAGAACAGAGGAUGAGAUGCUGGAAGAGGGACCAUCAUGGGAGGACAAGCCCUUGCACGGGAUGUACCACCGGAACAUAACUGAAGUGGCUGAUCUCAACAAAUCCUACCAAUGGCUUGAAAGGGCUGGGCUGAAGGACAGCACAGAGGCACUCAUCCUGGCUGCACAGGAGCAGGCCCUGAGCACCAGAGCCAUAGAGGCCCAGAUCUACCACACCAGACAAGACCCAAGGUGUAGACUGUGCAAAGAGGCCCCAGAGACGGUCCAGCACAUAACUGCAGGGUGCAAGAUGCUGGCAGGGAAAGCAUACAUGGAACGCCAUAACCAAGUGGCUGGCAUAGUAUACAGGAACAUCUGCGCGGAGUAUGGACUGGAAACCCCAAGGUCAAAGUGGGAAACACCUCCCAAGGUGGUAGAGAACGAGCGAGCCAAGAUCCUGUGGGACUUCCAGAUCCAGACUGACAGAAUGGUAAUGGCGAACCAACCAGACAUUGUGGUGGUGGAUAAAGAGCAGAGGAAAGCCGUAGUGGUGGAUGUGGCAAUACCAAGCGAUGGCAACAUCAGGAAAAAGGAACAUGAGAAACUAGAGAAAUACCAAGGGCUCAGAGAAGAACUGGAGAAGGCUUGGAAGGUGAAGGCCACAGUGGUGCCUGUGGUGAUCGGAGCACUAGGGGCUGUGACCCCCAAACUGGAGGAGUGGCUACGACAGAUCCCUGGAAAAACAUCCGACAUCUCAGUCCAGAAAAGUGCAGUCCUAGGAACAGCAAGGAUACUGCGCAGAACCCUCAAGCUCCCUGGCCUCUGGUAGAGGACCCGAGCUUGGAAAGUGGAUGAGACCACCCGCGGAGGAUGUUGCUGCCUUUAACACUGUGGUUUUCAUUGCACCUGCUGUGCUGGUGUUUGUUCUGAUAUUUGUGAUGGUCAUGGUGUGUAAACACAAAUGUCACAAAGGAAAAGCAACUGGAGCCAUU